CUACGGGUGGCAGCAGUGGGGAAUAUUGGACAAUGGGCGAAAGCCUGAUCCAGCAAUGCCGCGUGUGUGAAGAAGGCCUGCGGGUUGUAAAGCACUUUCAGUUGGGAAGAUGAUGACGUUACCAACAGAAGAAGCACCGGCUAAAUCCGUGCCAGCAGCCGCGGUAAUACGGAUGGUGCGAGCGUUAAUCGGAAUUACUGGGCGUAAAGCGCGCGUAGGCGGCUAAGUCAGUCAGAAGUGAAAGCCCCGGGCUCAACCUGGGAAUUGCUUUUGAUACUGCUUAGCUAGAGUUUGGUAGAGGAUAGUGGAAUUCCAGGUGUAGCGGUGAAAUGCGUAGAUAUCUGGAGGAACAUCAGUGGCGAAGGCGACUGUCUGGACCAAAACUGACGCUGAGGUGCGAAAGCGUGGGUAGCAAACAGGAUUAGAUACCCCCGUAGUC
rnacentral:rRNA from 1 species